rnacentral:rRNA from 1 species
AAUGAACGUUGGCGGCGUGGAUUAGGCAUGCAAGUCGUACGGGUCGGUGUAGCAAUACAACGGCAAGUGGCGAAAGGGAGAGUAACACGUAGAUACCUACCCUCUGGUCGGGGAUACCGCGGCAUAACCGCAAGUAAUACCAGAUAAAAUCUCCGGAUCAAAGGUGUGAUUCCGCCGGAGGAGGGGUCUGCGUUCUAUCAGCUUGUUGGUGAGGUAAUGGCUCACCAAGGCUAAGACGGAUACGGGGUGUGAGAGCAUGCCCCCGCUCACUGGGACUGAGACACUGCCCAGACACCUACGGGUGGCUGCAGUCGAGAAUCUUCGGCAAUGGGCGCAAGCCUGACCGAGCGACGCCGCGUGCGGGAUGAAGGCCUUCGGGUUGUAAACCGCUGUCGAGGGGAAUGAAGUGCAAGUGAGUUAUCUCAUUUGUUUGACAGAUCCCUGGAGGAAGCAUGGGUUAAGUUCGUGCCAGCCGCCGCGGUAACAC